CGGCUGAUAUUGAUAACAGCGGGACAAUAGACUAUGGGGAGUUCAUAGCUGCCACAUUGCAUCUAAACAAAGUUGAAAAGGAGGAUCAUCUAUUUGCGGCUUUCUCAUACUUUGACAAAGAUGGCAGUGGGUAUAUAACUCUAGAUGAGCUGCAACAAGCUUGUAUGGAAUUCGGCAUGGAGGAUGUUCACUUGGAAGAAAU
rnacentral:misc_RNA from 1 species